GGGUCUGUGACAUGUGCUGGGUCUGUGAGGUGUGCACGGGUCUGUGACAUGUGCUGGGUCUGUGAGGUGUGCACGUGCCUGUGAUGUGUACUGUAUCUGUGAGGUGUGCACAGGUCUGUGAGGUGUGCAUGGGUCUGUGACAUGUGCUGGGUCUGUGAGGUGUGCACGGGUCUGUGAGGUGUGCACGUGCCUGUGAUGUGUACU
rnacentral:lncRNA from 1 species